GCGGCAGCUGAAGAAGUUCAGCCUGCCAAAGGGUGCGUUCCGAUCGCCCAGUAGUUCCCCGCAAAGUGGACUGCACAGGGUAUUAAGCCAUUUUAAGUGAGAUUCCAAACCGCAGGGAGCACACUAUGUUCAGUUCAAAGGGCACUGUGAAUUGUGUAGGUGUGGCAGGAUGAGGUUUUCUUUCCCUCCCUCUUACCUGUGCACGAGAAGGCGCACCAGCACACCUGGGGCUCAUCCCUUUUGACUGGGAGAGGUGGGGAGCUGCCUUUUUAAGCCUGUGUGGUGGACUCAUUUGCGUUUCUGUCUUCUCCUGUUGGGUGUGGAGACGUGUCUGGGCUGGCGUGCUGCACGUUUGUUGCCGUUGCGAGAGGUUGUUAGUUUACUGCGGAGUGAGCCAACUUUGUUUCGGCCGUGGAUAUUCUCCGUAUGGAUAGAUGAAUACCUGGGCUGCUGGCGUUGGGUGCCUCGUUGAGUGCUGUGUGGUUGCGCGUAUUGCUUGCCCCCCUGCCGGGGUCUGAGGGUGGCGUGUCCCGUAAAGCGCGGGACCAGGUUACAGCCGUGUGCAUGCUGCUGUCGAGGCUGCUGGGUGCCACAGUUAUCACUCCCCGGCGCGUUUCUCCUCCCACUCUUCUGGAUAUCGGUAUAAAACUUUGCUGUAUAUUGUUACAAACAGUGUCUGGAUAUGACUGUCCUGGAUGCACAGAACUGGUUUGGAACGAUACAUUUUAAGUGUUUGAAUAUCCAGACAUUGGCUCUGUAAAUAUUGGUAUUAACUGGAUGUA